rnacentral:rRNA from 1 species
GAUGAACGCUGGCGGCGUGCCUAAUACAUGCAAGUCGAACGGGGUGUUUGAGCAAUCGGACACUUAGUGGCGAACGGGUGAGUAACGCGUUGGUGACCUGCCCCAAAGCGGGGGAUAACAGCCUGAAAGGGUUGCUAAUACCGCAUAUGAUGAUGAGAGACUAGAAACUUAUCAUUAAAGGAGAAAUCCACUUUGGGAGGGGCCUGCGGCCCAUCAGCUAGUUGGUAGGGUAAAAGCCUACCAAGGCGAAGACGGGUAGGGGACCUGAGAGGGUGACCCCCCACAAUGGAACUGAAACACGGUCCAUACACCUACGGGUGGCAGCAGUAGGGGAUAUUGCACAAUGGGCGGAAGCCUGAUGCAGCAACGCCGCGUGAGUGAUGAAGGCCCUCGGGUCGUAAAACUCUUUUCAAGAGGAAGAGGAAGGACGGUACUCUUGGAAUAAGCCUCGGCUAACUCUGUGCCAGCAGCCGCCGUAAUAC